AAAUGCGAUAAGUAAUGUGAAUUGCAGAAUUCAGUGAAUCAUCGAAUCUUUGAACGCACCUUGCGCUCCUUGGUAUUCCGAGGAGCAUGCCUGUUUGAGUGUCAUGGAAUUCUCAACUCUAUUUGCUUUUGUGAAUAGAGCUUGGAUUUGGAGGUUUAUUGCUGGUACUUGUGAUCGGCUCCUCUUGAAUGCAUUAGCUCGAACCUUUGCGGAUCAGCUAUCGGUGUGAUAAUUGUCUACGCCGUUGCAGUGAAGC
rnacentral:misc_RNA from 1 species